AGUAAGAUGGGUGUGGGGUUGGGGGAAGCUCAAGGCAGGGAGAUGCCUAAGAACCAUCUAUUUUGCAGAUGAACUUUCAUUCCAUCUCCUUGCUUUUGGUCCUGAAUCUAACAUCCUCCUUUUAUGGCACCUGGUGCUUCAAAAUACCAAGCACCUCAGGUGUCCCGUGGCCAAGUAUCUUGUCUUUGAUGUUGUUCCCUCGGUGCUCUCGGCUGGAAACUGUCCCCAUUCAGCUACACCCUUUUUGCUUUCAGACAACUAGACAUUUCUUGAUUCCUUCAGCUUCUACCCAACUCCUCUGUUUGCUAUAUUCUUGGAGAGUCACACCUUUCUUAUUUUUGUGGAACCGUAAUAACAUCUUAAAAGGAGUUUGAGGAGGGGGCGGAAGAAAUCCAGGAGUGGCAAAUCUGCCAUUUUUGACCAAAAUUGAGAGUGCAUGUGCUGGUGGGGGGCGCCCGCCUUCCGUAAGACUGAUUCGACCCCUCCCUGCCGUCUUCGCCUCACGGGGUGCUGCUGGGCCUUCCCUGGGCCCCUUGUCCCUCGCUGCCUCCUCUCUUCUCUACCAGCACAGACAUUGUGAUCUGCCACUUUGGCAUCUGCUGGGCACUGCCAACGGCCGCACAGAGCCCAGUGCCUUGAUGCAGUUGCCAACCUCUGCUGGGCACCCACUGCCCGGUCUCCAGGGUUUCCCAUCUGCUGGUCCUUCCAACCUCCAAACCUCCCUCGUCCCCAUCGUUCGAAGCCAAUGGCCUUUAUAGACAGAACCGCAGAGAUGAGACUCUUCCCCCUGUCCCCCAUGGCGGCCACCAUGGCCUUCUGCCUAGAGUGUGCCCCUGUGUCCUGGGCAGGGCCUCAUGGCCUGCCCGACUUCCCCAUUGUUCUCAUUAGCUGUUCCGCUUCGGUGAACACCUGUGGAGGAGGAGAAGUCUACCUGGUGACACCUGUGGAGGAGGAGCAGUCUACCUGGUGACACCUGUGGAGGAGGAGCAGUCUACCUGGUGACACCUGUGGAGGAGGAGCAGUCUACCUGGUGGCACCUGUGGAGGAGGAGCAGUCUACCUGGUGGCACCUGUGGAGGAGGAGCAGUUGAUGUGUUGGUCACGGUCUCAGAGGUCUCAGUCCACAGUCGGCCAGCUCCACUGCUCUGGGCUGGAGUGAGGCAGCGCAUCAAGGUGGAAGAGUGUGGAGGAGGACAGCAGCUCAGGACGUCACAUCAGGAAGGAGAGAGAGAGAGAGAGAGAGAGAGAGAGAGAUUACGGAUGAGGGACAGAAUACACACCCAGAGGCGGGUCCCCAUGACCCACCUCCUCCAGCCACACCCGCCUGCCCACGUUAUCACCCAGUUCACCCCAUCAGGGGACCGUGCCCAGGUGAGGUUAAGGCUCUGUCACCCACUCGUUUCUCCUCUGAACUUCCCUGUCCUGUCUCACACGUGAGCUUUGGGGUCACCUUCUGUCUAAACCGUAGCGACCUUCUCCCUGCUCUGCUUUGGCACUUCCUUUCAGUUCCAGAGAUGUCACGGAUACAGAUUGUCACAUUGGCUUCCUCCAGGGGAGAUGUUCAAACAUUUACCUGUGGCAGGAGGAUACAGCAGUUCCCGCGGCCUCCUGGUCCGCCAGGAGCUUCCCUGUCACAGUAAGCUGGUGGGAGGGUGGUAGUGAGCUGGGGCUGCCGUGACAAAGUGCCCUGAACAGAGUGACUUCAACACGCUGCUGCACCGUUCUGGCGGCUGCGGCUCAGGAUCGAGGUGUGUGCUGGGCCACGCUCCUUCCAAGGCGCCUGGGAAGGGUCUGCUGGGGCCACUCCCCGAGCUCCUGGCAGCUCCUGGCUGUGGAGACGAGCUCCCGCUGCCCUCGGCCUUCUCCCUGUGCCACCUGUGUCCACAUCUGUCCCUUUUAUCAGGACACAGUCAUAUUGGGUUAGGGCCCCCUCAGGACCUAAUUUUAAUUUGAUUGUCUGCAAAGAUCCUAUUUCCAAAUAAGGUCAUUUUCACAGAGAGCUCCGGGCUCCAUGGGUGAGCCUCGGACAGGGGUCCCUGGGGAGGGGGGCUCUCUAGGAAGGGACCGGAGCCAGGGAGCUGAAUGGCAUGAACACGCAAGUUCAGUGACAAGGACAGGCCCAGGCCCAGGCCUGCUCCAGGCUGCCCUGCUCAAGACGGAGGCUCAUUCCUGGCAGGGUUUGCCUCUCCCUCUGUGGACCCUGGAAAGGAGGACACCCACCUGCUCCACCCAGCAGGAGGGGGUGAUGGGGCACCCCCAGAGCUGUAGGGCCCUGGAGCCUGCGGUUGGCCAGCUCAGUCACCUGGAUGGUCAUCUCCCGGGGCCAGGCUCUCUGGCCAGGUGGGCUCAGGUGUCUCAGGAGAAGCUGCCCGGCCACCCAAUCUAGAGUAGCCCGUAGCAUGUACACACCCCUCCCCUCACAUACCCCACACAGACACACAACGCACAACCACAACCACAACACAUCACACAUGCCUCACGCCACACACAGAUACACGCGCACAGACGCCUCGACUCUAAAUCUCUCCACCCUUGGCUCUUCCCUCCUAGCCGGUUGCUCUCAUUCUGUUGGGGUCCCGGGGGUCCUUGCCCACCUGCCCCCUGUUCUAGGAUGUAGAUUCCUGGCCACUGUCAGGGACCUGCCCAUCUUGUUCCCUGAUGGGCCCUGAGCCCCUAGAACUUGCUGGGCACAUGGCAGGUGCUGUGGGCUGCAGGCUUGGGGCCACCUUCCUGUGGUCUGUGGGUGUCGCCAGAGAGGAGUGGGGACCUGGGCUCCUGCCCACCGCACAGCUCCGCUAGGGUCCCACUGCCCCAGGUUUUCUCUUGGCACUUUUCUUAUUCAGAAACACAAACCUUCAAGUUGCAAACAGAGCCUUGGAGAGGCUGAGAGCCCCCAGGUACCUGGGGAUUUCUCAGAUCUCCUCGCAGGCAUAGAUCUGGUAUGACUGUGUCCACGUGCAACCCAGAGGCUGCCAACCCAGGUGCUGCCCAUGUGACCCCCACAGGGGGUCACCUAAACUCAGAUGGGUUCUUUCUGCCCUGGCAGCUUUCUGGGGCCCAUCUCACCAAAACCCCCAGGACUCCAGGUGCCGGCCCCCAAUACCCCUGCAGCGUUAUGAAGGAAGUCCCGCUGGACCCUGAGCGGCAGGUGAGCAGCCAGGGAGUGGAGUGUCUGGUCCAGAUCCAGCCCCGGCCAUGGGUCUCCAGCCAGGCUCCUAACUUCCUCAUCUGGAAAGACAGAUGGGAAGAGGUCGCUCUGACAGACUGGCUGGGGUUUCCCGGCCACUCCUCUCAGUACCUAUUAGCCUGGCCCCAGUUCAAUGUUCCAUAGCCGCAGGCAGCAGGAAGCUUCUGGAACAGCCUUCCUGCAUCCGUGGGGGAGAAGCGGCACACUUGGAGUCAGUGGGGCCAAGGCUACGAAAGGAACCGGCUGCGAGACCCCUCCAAGGCCCCAUCCAGUGAAAGUGCAGGACAGGCUCCUUCCCCACCCCCGCCCCCGCCCCAGGGUCACUGCUGUGCACCGCACUUCCUCAGUGUUAUGCUCAUUAAUUAAACUCUUAUUUACGCCCGAGGGCAGUGUCCGGCCAUCUGGAAGCCUUUCCCUCUGUGGUCGGGUCAUGAGAGCUCACGCACAGCUCAGGGGCUCUGGCGCCUGCUCCGGGAGGUCCCACCUGGACCCUCAGAAAAACCACUGAGCUGUCCAGCAAGGUCCUUGCUCCCCACCCCACCAAUAGUGACCCUGGAUUAUGAGCUGUCACCAGCACCUCCUGUUCCACAGAACGCAACGUAAGGCUUUCUGUAACUGCGACUUUAUUUUAAUACUCAGAACACGCCUGUGAAACAGAUAUCAGUCCCGUUUCACAAUGGGGGAGCCGAGGCUCAGAGGGGGGCAGGAACUUGCUUUAGGUCACAGUUAAGAGAUGAAGGGUCAGUUCUGAGGUGGGACCAGUAUCUCAUGCCCACCCAGGAGCUCCAUACCCCUCCUCUGCUCAGUGAGAAUCAGACCUGGUCUUGGAUCGAGCUCUGGGCAGAGGGCGAUUCAGGACAGCAGCCAAGUGAUGGGCCCAGAGGGAGGCUGGCUUAGUGACAUGGACAAGGACAGUAGGUGCCACUGGUCCUGGGGAGCACCAAGAGCCCGGGGAGAGGGCUGAGCCAGUCCUGCUGGGCUGCCGCCUGAGUGGUCCACCUCUUUGGGAAGCUCCGGGUCCCGAAGGGUACCCCAAGUCCUGGGGAGAGAUUGUCAGCAUUUCCAGGUGAAGGACGGGAGGCGGAGCAGCUGCAGCAGGGACCAGGGAUGGGCUGGCACUGGGGAGCCAGGGGUCAUACAGAGGGAGGGUGGCGGGGGCAAGCGAGGUCCCCCAGAAUUCCUUGACUCAUGGCUUGGGAGACAGACACCCAGAAGAGGACUCACCGGAGUCUCCUGGAGCUGGGAAAAGCAGGGUGGUGUCGGGCCCAGGGCUCCCCACCAGGGCCCAGGUGGCCUCCCCUUCCUCUUGUGGACAGUGGUCAGGGCCUGGGCCUGCAGCCAGGGGCUGUCUCUGUCAGGCUUCUCCGAGAUGUGCUCAUGCUACCGUAAGAUGAGUGAUGGCAUCGCCAUGACCCCUAAGAGUUCCAGAAGUCACGACUGGGGCCUUUGCAGAAGGGAUCCUGGCUGGGCCACCCAAGCUGCGUUCCUUCCAGAGCAGGAACAUAUCUGGGGGUCAAUCCAUGGAAAAGAGGAGAGGAGCGGAGGGAGAGUUAAGAAGGGUGAGGACGAUGCCAGGGGCCUUAUGAAUUGGCCACCGCAGGGGUGACAGGGCCCUGGGCAACAGGAUCUUCUGAGCCAAGGGACAAGGGAGUGUGUUGCUCCCCACACUGGUGCGGUCUCCUGGCCAGGCCACAACCCCUGCGCUUGCUCUCCGGCUGCGCCAAGGGGAUCCAGCACCCCUAGGCAGCCCAGGGGUGCCCCAGGCAGGAAGUGAGGCAGGCACAGGUGCAGGGCCCAGCAGGGAGCAGCGGGGCUGAGCAUGAGCUGAGGACCCGAGGACUAGGGUGGCCCAGGACACUCCCAGCCCUGCCGGCUGCCCUCUGCCUCUGCUCCUCCCCCUCGAGAGAUGGACACCUGUACCCAGCAGCCCUGACCGCGUGUCUUCCAGCUCUGUCUUCUCCCGCCCUUGUGGUCCCUGGUCUCUGUUCCUCCUUCUGGGAGAUUCCUCAGCCUCUGCUUCUGCUGACAGCUGAUGGCCAACUUCUGAGACCUAAGUUCAAAUUUCCAAGCCCAUAUCCCAAGGGGGCAGGUGGUCCCAUCACCCCUCCGGGCCCUACUGUCCUGUCCCUGAGCCCAGGGGUCAGACGCCCUCGCGAGGCUCAGGAAACCCAUUUUCGUUUCCCAACAGCUCUGCUGUCAGGAAGCCGUCGGAUCCCUCCUUCUACUGGCUUCUGAUCUUAGAAGAGAUGGAGAAGGCCCCUUCCUUGAGCUGUGAAGGACACGCUGAGUACGACGUUCUGCUGAAUGCAGGCACGGCCCAGGUGGCUCAGGUGGCCGCUGGGGAGGACCACAGGGCUGCAGGCCUGGGAGGUCUGAGCCCGCUUCUCCACUGGAAAAGGGGCCAGGGGCAGAUGAUGGAGUCCGUCCUCUGACUCAGGCCCAACGUUCCCCCCGUGCCCACUGGUGUCGUGGGAGGGCCAGAUGGCGUCCAUCUUGGUGAAGGAGGAGCUCGGACCCCGGGAAGCAGAUGAAAAGCGAGGUUGGACGUGGUGGGAGUGUCUUUACCUGAAGGACAAGGUCCUACAGCAUGUGGCAAGAAGUUUGGCUGAGGUCUGUCGACCAGGAGGAUUUUCCUGAUCCCGCAUCCUGGAUGCCUGUCCUCUGGGGACCACCAGAGAAAAGAUGGCUUCAAGACAAAACGUGGGGUGCAAAGAAAAGUGAGUCAAACCCAGAAGACUGAUUGGAAGGAACUGUGACGUGUGGGAAUGGGUACGAGGACCCACGGAGGAGAGCAGAGCCCACCCCUGCUGUGGCAGGAUCGAGGGUUGCGCAACGGUGGAGAAAUGUUGGAUCGGGAGCCACCGUCACGCAGUCUAACAGUGUGUGUGACCAGAGAGGACGGAGCGUGGCCACCGAGGCACCAGCCGGAGAGUCCCAUCUGGAUCAGAACAGAGACCCACCUGGCCAGUCUGUGAAGUUGCACACAGGCCACCUAUUUGCCCCUGUCACGGGCACUGGGGUUCCUCGGGGAAAUAGCAGGCUGUGCAGGCCCCUUGAUAGGAGAGAGCUUAGGGGAAGAUGAGACACUAAGUGUGCAAAGUCACGGAUGAUCAUUCAGUGCUUCUGUGAGAGGAGC